rnacentral:misc_RNA from 1 species
UGCCCAUAUCAAUGAUGCAGAUUUCUCACCUAGAAAUCGCCUUAGGUCUUCAUGAAUUGUUGCCAUGGGAGACCUCUCCCUCCCAUUUACAUGUCCAAUGAGAAGCAGUAGAAACUCUCCACACUUGAGCCUCAAUUUUUCAUCUACUUGUUUGUCUCUAAUGAGUAUGGCAACUUCCUCAAUGCCAUUGCAAGCCUCAAAAUCCGCCUGAUUGGCAGAUGAAUCCAGCAUGAUAGCAAUAAAAGCAUCCAAGCAUGCUCCUUGUCCCAGUACCCCUCGAGUCGACAGUAUGUUCAUCAACACCGGGAUUGCCUUGUACUGAUGGGCCAAAACAUUACUCUCGCAAUGAAUCAGACAACAACCUUCCAGAACUCUAAGCGCUAGAGAAACUUCAGAAUCAGUUGACGGGCUGGUUAUUUCCAUAGGUUCCACAGUAAAUAUGUGGUCUAGACUGGUAACAUUCUGGUCCUCUGUAUCUCUCAAGGAAUGUCUGAAAAGAACUGGAACCACUUGAAGAUCGGGAAUGGAUUGGCUGUGACAGAAGAUGUUGAUGGUAGUAUCUGACUCGGCAACGGAUCGGAGGAACUUGAG